rnacentral:misc_RNA from 1 species
AAGUCGUAACAAGGUAACCGUAGGUGAACCUGCGGUUGGAUCAUUAGAAAAACAAUCAAAGAAGACCUGAGAGGAGUAAGGCGUUUGCCUGAAAGAGGAAGGCUUCUUUGGCCAAUCGGCCAACACAUUUUGUGAACCUUUCGGCCAACCCCUUUCGGGAUGGUCGUUGCCCCACCUUCUGAAAACAAAAUCUUUAUUGCUUCUGAGUAUCGGACAUGCGCAAGCAUGGCCGUCAAAAGAAAUUCAUUCAAAAACAACUUUUGGCAACGGAUCUCUUGGCUCUC